rnacentral:rRNA from 1 species
GUGAAAUUCCGUCGGAAUCUGGGAGGACCAUCUCCUAAGGCUAAAUACUCUCUAGUGACCGAUAGUGAACCAGUACCGUGAGGGAAAGGUGAAAAGCACCCCGGAAGGGGAGUGAAAUAGAACCUGAAACCGUGUGCUUACAAGUAGUCAGAGCCCGUUAAUGGGUGAUGGCGUGCCUUUUGUAGAAUGAACCGGCGAGUUACGAUUUGAUGCAAGGUUAAGCAGUAAAUGUGGAGCCGUAGCGAAAGCGAGUCUGAAUAGGGCGUUUAGUAUUUGGUCGUAGACCCGAAACCAGGUGAUCUACCCUUGGUCAGGUUGAAGUUCAGGUAACACUGAAUGGAGGACCGAACCGACUUACGUUGAAAAGUGAGCGGAUGAACUGAGGGUAGCGGAGAAAUUCCAAUCGAACCUGGAGAUAGCUGGUUCUCUCCGAAAUAGCUUUAGGGCUAGCCUCAAGUGAUGAUUAUUGGAGGUAGAGCACUGUUUGGACGAGGGGCCCCUCUCGGGUUACCGAAUUCAGACAAACUCCGAAUGCCAAUUAAUUUAACUUGGGAGUCAGAACAUGGGUGAUAAGGUCCGUGUUCGAAAGGGAAACAGCCCAGACCACCAGCUAAGGUCCCAAAAUAUAUGUUAAGUGGAAAAGGAUGUGGCGUUGCCCAGACAACUAGGAUGUUGGCUUAGAAGCAGCCAUCAUUUAAAGAGUGCGUAAUAGCUCACUAGUCGAGUGACACUGCGCCGAAAAUGUACCGGGGCUAAACAUAUUACCGAAGCUGUGGAUUGUCCUUUGGACAAUGGUAGGAGAGCGUUCUAAGGGCGUUGAAGCAUGAUCGUAAGGACAUGUGGAGCGCUUAGAAGUGAGAAUGCCGGUGUGAGUAGCGAAAGACGGGUGAGAAUCCCGUCCACCGAUUGACUAAGGUUUCCAGAGGAAGGCUCGUCCGCUCUGGGUUAGUCGGGUCCUAAGCUGAGGCCGACAGGCGUAGGCGAUGGAUAACAGGUUGAUAUUCCUGUACCACCUAUAAUCGUUUUAAUCGAUGGGGGGACGCAGUAGGAUAGGCGAAGCGUGCGAUUGGAUUGCACGUCUAAGCAGUAAGGCUGAGUAUUAGGCAAAUCCGGUACUCGUUAAGGCUGAGCUGUGAUGGGGAGAAGACAUUGUGUCUUCGAGUCGUUGAUUUCACACUGCCGAGAAAAGCCUCUAGAUAGAAAAUAGGUGCCCGUACCGCAAACCGACACAGGUAGUCAAGAUGAGAAUUCUAAGGUGAGCGAGCGAACUCUCGUUAAGGAACUCGGCAAAAUGACCCCGUAACUUCGGGAGAAGGGGUGCUCUUUAGGGUUAACGCCCAGAAGAGCCGCAGUGAAUAGGCCCAAGCGACUGUUUAUCAAAAACACAGGUCUCUGCUAAACCGUAAGGUGAUGUAUAGGGGCUGACGCCUGCCCGGUGCUGGAAGGUUAAGAGGAGUGGUUAGCUUCUGCGAAGCUACGAAUCGAAGCCCCAGUAAACGGCGGCCGUAACUAUAACGGUCCUAAGGUAGCGAAAUUCCUUGUCGGGUAAGUUCCGACCCGCACGAAAGGCGUAACGAUUUGGGCACUGUCUCAACGAGAGACUCGGUGAAAUCAUAGUACCUGUGAAGAUGCAGGUUACCCGCGACAGGACGGAAAGACCCCGUGGAGCUUUACUGUAGCCUGAUAUUGAAAUUCGGCACAGCUUGUACAGGAUAGGUAGGAGCCUUUGAAACGUGAGCGCUAGCUUACGUGGAGGCGCUGGUGGGAUACUACCCUAGCUGUGUUGGCUUUCUAACCCGCACCACUUAUCGUGGUGGGAGACAGUGUCAGGCGGGCAGUUUGACUGGGGCGGUCGCCUCCUAAAAGGUAACGGAGGCGCUCAAAGGUUCCCUCAGAAUGGUUGGAAAUCAUUCAUAGAGUGUAAAGGCAUAAGGGAGCUUGACUGCGAGACCUACAAGUCGAGCAGGGUCGAAAGACGGACUUAGUGAUCCGGUGGUUCCGCAUGGAAGGGCCAUCGCUCAACGGAUAAAAGCUACCCCGGGGAUAACAGGCUUAUCUCCCCCAAGAGUUCACAUCGACGGGGAGGUUUGGCACCUCGAUGUCGGCUCAUCGCAUCCUGGGGCUGUAGUCGGUCCCAAGGGUUGGGCUGUUCGCCCAUUAAAGCGGUACGCGAGCUGGGUUCAGAACGUCGUGAGACAGUUCGGUCCCUAUCCGUCGUGGGCGUAGGAAAUUUGAGAGGAGCUGUCCUUAGUACGAGAGGACCGGGAUGGACAUACCUCUGGUGUACCAGUUGUCGUGCCAACGGCAUAGCUGGGUAGCUAUGUGUGGACGGGAUAAGUGCUGAAAGCAUCUAAGCAUGAAGCCCCCCUCAAGAUGAGAUUUCCCAACUUCGGUUAUAAGAUCCCUCAAAGAUGAUGAGGUUAAUAGGUUCGAGGUGGAAGCAUGGUGACAUGUGGAGCUGACGAAUACUAAUCGAUCGAAGACUUAAUCAA